rnacentral:rRNA from 1 species
UACGUAGGUGGCGAGCGUUAUCCGGAAUUACUGGGUGUAAAGGGUGUGUAGGCGGGAAGCCAAGUCAGAUGUGAAGAUCACGGGCUCAACCCGUGACCUGCGUCUGAAACUGGUUUUCUUGAGAGUGGGAGAGGUAAACGGAAUUCCUGGUGUAGCGGUGAAAUGCGUAGAUAUCAGGAGGAACACCGGUGGCGAAGGCGGUUUACUGGACCACAACUGACGCUGAGACACGAGAGCGUGGGGAGCAAAC